rnacentral:rRNA from 1 species
CAGCAGUAGGGAAUCUUCGGCAAUGGACGAAAGUCUGACCGAGCAACGCCGCGUGAGUGAAGAAGGUCUUCGGAUUGUAAAGCUCUGUUAUCAGGGAAGAACGAAUGCAGCAGGGAAUGGCUGUAGAGUGACGGUACCUGAUUAGAAAGCCACGGCUAACUACGUG